rnacentral:rRNA from 1 species
ACCCGCUGAACUUAAGCAUAUCAAUAAGCGGAGGAAAAGAAACCAACAGGGAUUGCCUUAGUAACUGCGAGUGAAGCGGCAAAAGCUCAAAUUUGAAAUCUGGUGCCUUCGGCGCCCGAGUUGUAAUUUGGAGAGACAUCUUCGGAGUAGACGCUGUCCUAAGUUCCUUGGAACAGGACGUCACAGAGGGUGAGAAUCCCGUGCCUGGAUGGCUGUUCUACUUCAUGUGAAGUGUCUUCGACGAGUCGAGUUGUUUGGGAAUGCAGCUCAAAAUGGGAGGUAAAUUUCUUCUAAAGCUAAAUAUUGGCGAGAGACCGAUAGCGCACAAGUAGAGUGAUCGAAAGAUGAAAAGCACUUUGAAAAGAGAGUUAAAAAGUACGUGAAAUUGUUGAAAGGGAAGCGCUUGAGACCAGACUCGACCAGUGGUGAUCAGCGGUGCUUCUGUGCCGUGCACUUGCCAUUGGUUGGGCCAGCAUCGGUUUGGACGGCGGGAUAAAGACCUAAGGAAUGUGGCUCCCUCCGGGGAGUGUUAUAGCCUUGAGUGCAAUGCCGCCAGUCUGGACCGAGGACCGCGCUUCGGCUAGGAUGCUGGCGUAAUGGUCUU